GCCUUGUACACACCGCCCGUCAAGCCAUGGGAGCCGGGGGUGCCUGAAGUCCGUGACCGCAAGGGGCGGCCUAGGGUAAAACCGGUGACUGGGGCUAAGUCGUAACAAGGUAGCCGUACCGGAAGGUGCGGCUGGAACACCUCCUUU
rnacentral:rRNA from 1 species